rnacentral:RNase_P_RNA from 1 species
GCAGAAGCAUGGUCUGUCGCUUCAUGAUGCUCAUUUUGAGUAAGGCAUGAAGAGGAAAGUCCGGGCAACACAGAGCGGCAUCCUUUUUAACGGAAAGUUGUCGGCGACGGCAAGGACAAUGUAACAGAAAACAACCGCCGGCCACUCAUGGCUCGGCAAGGGUGAAAAGGUGGAGUAAGAGCCCACCGCUCCCGGCGGAAUCCGGGAGGCAGUACAUCCGAUGCGUUGCAAGGCCAAAUAUACCGGCAGAUAAGGGUGGCUCGCCCUUUGCCGGGGGGUAGGCUGCUAAAGAGUCCGAGCAAUCGGUCUUCGCAGAUAAAUGACAGACACAGGCCUAUAUUCAGACCUGCACAUAACCCGGCUUAUAGUGCUUCUGCCCCC